rnacentral:rRNA from 1 species
GAUGAACGCUGGCGGCGUGCCUAAUACAUGCAAGUCGAGCGAACGGACGAGAAGCUUGCUUCUCUGAUGUUAGCGGCGGACGGGUGAGUAACACGUGGAUAACCUACCUAUAAGACUGGGAUAACUUCGGGAAACCGGAGCUAAUACCGGAUAAUAUUUUGAACCGCAUGGUUCAAAAGUGAAAGACGGUCUUGCUGUCACUUAUAGAUGGAUCCGCGCUGCAUUAGCUAGUUGGUAAGGUAACGGCUUACCAAGGCAACGAUGCAUAGCCGACCUGAGAGGGUGAUCGGCCACACUGGAACUGAGACACGGUCCAGACUCCUACGGGAGGCAGCAGUAGGGAAUCUUCCGCAAUGGGCGAAAGCCUGACGGAGCAACGCCGCGUGAGUGAUGAAGGUCUUCGGAUCGUAAAACUCUGUUAUUAGGGAAGAACAUAUGUGUAAGUAACUGUGCACAUCUUGACGGUACCUAAUCAGAAAGCCACGGCUAACUACGUGCCAGCAGCCGCGGUAAUACGUAGGUGGCAAGCGUUAUCCGGAAUUAUUGGGCGUAAAGCGCGCGUAGGCGGUUUUUUAAGUCUGAUGUGAAAGCCCACGGCUCAACCGUGGAGGGUCAUUGGAAACUGGAAAACUUAAGCGCAGAAGAGGAAAGUGGAAUUCCAUGUGUAGCGGUGAAAUGCGCAGAGAUAUGGAGGAACACCAGUGGCGAAGGCGACUUUCUGGUCUGUAACUGACGCUGAUGUGCGAAAGCGUGGGGAUCAAACAGGAUUAGAUACCCUGGUAGUCCACGCCGUAAACGAUGAGUGCUAAGUGUUAGGGGGUUUCCGCCCCUUAGUGCUGCAGCUAACGCAUUAAGCACUCCGCCUGGGGAGUACGACCGCAAGGUUGAGACUCAAAGGAAUUGACGGGGACCCGCACAAGCGGUGGAGCAUGUGGUUUAAUUCGAAGCAACGCGAAGAACCUUACCAAAUCUUGACAUCCUUUGACAACUCUAGAGAUAGAGCUUUCCCCUUCGGGGGACAAAGUGACAGGUGGUGCAUGGUUGUCGUCAGCUCGUGUCGUGAGAUGUUGGGUUAAGUCCCGCAACGAGCGCAACCCUUAAGCUUAGUUGCCAUCAUUAAGUUGGGCACUCUAAGUUGACUGCCGGUGACAAACCGGAGGAAGGUGGGGAUGACGUCAAAUCAUCAUGCCCCUUAUGAUUUGGGCUACACACGUGCUACAAUGGACAAUACAAAGGGCAGCGAAACCGUGAGGUCAAGCAAAUCCCAUAAAGUUGUUCUCAGUUCGGAUUGUAGUCUGCAACUCGACUACAUGAAGCUGGAAUCGCUAGUAAUCGUAGAUCAGCAUGCUACGGUGAAUACGUUCCCGGGUCU